rnacentral:tRNA from 1 species
AGUCUUAUAGUUUAGUAAAACACUAAAUUGCAAAUUUAGGCAUAGUCUUGUUUAGGCUUAAGACUU